rnacentral:rRNA from 1 species
GAGUGCAGAGAACGUGAAACCGAUGUAAUGGAAGCAUAUGGAGCCGACGUAUCUUGUGCGUAUUCAUUCGGUUGGCUAUAUGAAGCUUGGUUGGUAUUCCGUAAGGUUGCUUGCUGGGUGUUUUGUAUGGCAAAUUGGUGCAUUUGCUUACGGAGUGCGCUGACCAGGUAGAUUCUGCGGUUGAAAGUAUGUUUAGAGGACCAGCUUAGGUUGGAAACCUGAAUGUGCGGAAGGCUGUUGGGAUUUGCUUUAGAUUGGGUUGUAGGCCAACGUGUUUGUUGUGCUUGGAUUGUGGUGCGUAAGCGUAACACAUGUGUGGCGUUUGCGUGUUGCUUUUCGGGUGGAACGAAUACUCUGCAGCUCGCUCGGUGUCUAGUCGGUCACCCAUUUGACCCGUCUUGAAACACGGACCAAGGAGUUUAAGGUGUGCGCGAGUCAUUGGGCUGUGAACCCUAAAGGCGAAAUGAAAGUGAAAUGCAUAGUGUUUGUGGUGUGAUCGGUUGGUGUUUCGAUGCCGGCCGAGCAACAUCGCUCCGUUCCUGGGACUUGUUCUGGUGCGGCAGCUGAGCGUACGCCUUGAGACCCGAAAGAUGGUGAACUAUGCCUGAACAGGACGAAGCCAGAGGAAACUCUGGUGGAAGUCCGAAGCGGUUCUGACGUGCAAAUCGAUCGUAUGAUUUUGGUAUAGGGGCGAAAGACUAAUCGAACCAUCUAGUAG